rnacentral:lncRNA from 1 species
GUGAGACCGGGACAAUGGAUUACAUUAGAGAAGGAAAAUGUGAAGACUGUAAAUGCUUCUCUAAUGAGAAAGCAGCCACCUAAAUCCCCAGAGCUCAUGUUAUCGUAAUAUUUACUAAUAGGACUCUGACAAUGCCUGGCGCAUAACAGUUCCUGGUAGACAGGGUCACUGACAGGUGUCACAGGUCUGGUGGCUUACAGGCAUGACACCACAGGAACAUUCGAAGCAGGAGUGGAUGAGAAAACGGCAGAUCUGUCCACUCUGAUGACGAGAUCACCUAACUCGGUGACCAGACACCUUGGUGUCCCUCCCUUUACUGCCUCUCCAGCUCGAUCUCUACCAGCCUCUUCCAAGUCUACCAUUGUUUUUACAUGGAGGAUGAACUGGAAGUGCCAAGAAAAAUAACAGAGAAUCUUUGGAAGAAGACAGAAACCGAAUUAAACAAGGCUCCAUUCUGAAGAUGUUCUCAGCUCUCGGAUCCCACAAUCACAAAGCAUCCAAAGAGAAAAGACAACUGGUCGAGGAUGGACUUCACUCUCCCAGUACUUAUAACGAAGAGCUCAGACUCGCCUCUUACUGGUGCUUUGUCAUAUUAGAGCAAGUGACUCGGUUCACCUGCUUUCCCUCCUUGCUUCAUCUCACUCCCCAUCACCUAUGCACAUCCACUUCCCACAGCAGGAUGCAGUCAAGGACCACAUAAAGGAAGAUUUCUACUUGAAUUUGCCAGAAGUGGAGCCGUUCUAAAGUUCACCAUAAAUGCUGGGCUGGAAGCCGUCCUAAUAACAUAGGUGUU